CCCUUAGAUGUUCUGGGCAGCACGCGCGCUACAAUGGUCUUCGCAAACGGAUGCAUUCUCGAAGGAGAAUGCCAAUCUUGGAAUCUAUGCCUUGGUCGGGACAGUUGCUUGCAAUUUUUCGACUCGAACCAGGAAUUCCUUGUAAUCGUGAUUCAUCACAUCACGAUGAAUACGUCCCUGCCCUUUGUACACACCGCCCGUCGCUCCUACCGAUCGAAGAGUUAGGUGAAUUGUUUUGAGCGAUAAGAUUUGACUAUGGUCAACUCUCGUUGUGAAAUUCUGUGAAUCUGACUGUUUAGAGGAAGGAAAAGUCGUAACA
rnacentral:rRNA from 1 species